UACGUAGGGACCAAGCGUUGUUCGGAUUUACUGGGCGUAAAGGGCGCGUAGGCGGCAAUUCAAGUCAGCUGUGAAAUCUCCGGGCUUAACUCGGAACGGUCAGCUGAUACUGUUUUGCUAGAGUGCAGAAGGGGCAAUCGGAAUUCUCGGUGUAGCGGUGAAAUGCGUAGAUAUCGAGAGGAACACCUGAGGUGAAGACGGGUUGCUGGGCCGAUACUGACGCUGAGGAGCGAAAGCGUGGGGAGCGAACAGG
rnacentral:rRNA from 1 species